AGUCGUAACAAGGUUUCCGUAGGUGAACCUGCGGAAGGAUCAUUAACACGUAUCCAAACGUUAAACCCCCCUGUGCAUCUUAAUCCUGCUCGCUUUCGCCUUGACAAAGCAAUCUCUGGUAAAUCAUCGCCCAAACAGUGUUGAUUCAGAGACCUCUUUCGAAACACGAAUCCAUGGAGCGGCAGAUCAAUAGGCUUGGCUUCCAACGGAGGGAGGAUAACUUGGUAACACCCAAGGUCGUUGGCUUACACGGUCAACGGACAAGUCUCUGGGCGUAAAGCCCCAGCUAACAAAACCCAGUAGGUGAAAGUAGUCCCGCGUAAAGUAGGGACACAAAAACGAACAACUGUUAACAAUGGAUAUCUUGGUUCUCGCAACGAUGAAGAACGCAGCGAAAUGCGAUACGUAAUGCGAAUUGCAGAAUUCAGUGAAUCAUCGAAUCUUUGAACGCAAAUUGCGCUCCCGGGUUACCCCCGAGAGCACACCUCUCUGAGUGUCGGUUUAACCAAAUGUCACCAAUUUAUUGGUGUACGACAGACUGAGGGUAAGGAGUCUCGGCUUCUUUCCCUUUAAAACUCAGCCGCACGACUGUGUGUGUUCGUGGCAAGUUGCUUUCACUUAACUGUGAAUCCAAUCCAUGAACCCUAUGUUAUUGCAGCCAAAAGAAACAAAUGAACGGAGUUGUGAACUGGNGAGCAAGUGAGGUAGUGAUCAAGUUUCGGCUUGGUNGUCGCUGAUCAUGUUUUCGAGGGAACGUCUCUGGACAUCUAUGAAUUAGACCUCAGAUGAAGUGGGAAGACCCCCUGAAUUUAAGCAUAUUAUUAAGGGGAGGGAAAGAAACUAACAAGGAUUCCCCUAGUAACGGCGAGUGAAGCGGGAAGAGCUCAAAUUUAAAAUCCGCUAGUCUAACAGCCAGCGGAGUUGUAAUCUAGAGAGACUCUCUCAGUGCCAGCCUGGUUAUAAGUCCCUUGAAACGGGGCAUCAUAGAGGGUGAGAAUCCCGUCUUUGAGCCGGAGCUAAGUACGUACGAGGAGUUUUCUAAGAGUCGCGUUGCUUGGGAGUGCAGCGCUAAAUGGGUGGUAAAGUUCAUCUAAAGCUAAAUACUGGCGAGAGACCGAUAGCGAACAAGUACCGUGAGGGAAAGAUGAAAAGAACUUUGAAAAGAGAGUUAAAAAGUACUUGAAAUUGUUAACAGGGAAGGGCAGGAAACCAGUCAUAUCUAGAUUCCAUUCGCUUUUCCUUCGGGAGGGGUUACUUGGAGUUAAGAUGGGUGAGUGGCAUGUGGGUAUCUUCGUAGAAAGCGUGUAGGUUGGUGCGUUUCUUCGGAUUCGUUUAACUUAUACGUCCUAUGCUGGUCCUGCAUGAGGAGUGAUAACCCGCCCUCGAAAGGGGACGGUACUUUGAGGCCUGUUUGCCCUAGCGCGUGAGAGAACAAAGUUCUGUCUGUGCGAAAGGUGAAUACUGCCUUGGAUGUGCCAGUUGCUGGGUUCGCGCCACACACGAAAUGGUUUUCUUCCACC
rnacentral:rRNA from 1 species